AGGGAUAAGCCCAGCACCGAAGCCUGUGGCCAUUUGAGUUACUAGGCAAUGUGGUGUUCAGGUCGUUCCGCGGAGGUUCUGCUCCACCCUAAGUCCAUCAAUGAGUACGGUAUUAUGGACAUGGCCCACAGAGGGGGAGAGGGUGAUGGGGGUGGUUGAUACCCAAGCCAUAGUGAACUAUGCUUGACCUUGUUGACGGGUUGUUAAACUCUGGUGGAGGACCUGGGCGGUACUCACCUGCAAAUGCAUAGUACUUGGUGAAUUCCGGGGCCAAAGACUAACCGAGCGGGAAAGUAGAUGGGUCCCUCGAAAAUUUCGCUCACGAUGCCUGAAACCGCUCAGAGGUAAACGGGUGGAGUUGAACUGCAAGCUCUGGGAAUUCAACUGGUGAGUGUGGUUUGAGCUUGGUCAUAUUGGUGGACGUCGGGGUCUGCGUAGCAGCAGGUCUUCGCCUUCGGGUGGGGAUGCGCGAUGCACUUAUCAAGUGUUGUGCGCCUCGGUUGUUCCCGGCCAACUCGCUAGUGCACUUUCUCAGAGUGGUCACCACGACCGACGCCGCUGGCUGGCCGCUGUGGUUAAACCGAAUCUGCAUAGUCCCUGUGGCUUUGCUUAGUCGGGAUGGCAGGUAUCUCGUUGACUUGCUCGUGGUUCGCUGCGAGCGUGGUUUUCGAGUAUAAUCCGCUGACCGUGGUGGUUCUGUACAGUGUGUCGGGGACGGCGGCUCGAGGUGUGUGCAUGCGUUGCUGUUUUGCUGACUGGUCCGAGUUUGGUUAUUUUGUAGCCUGUUCAAUCAGGUCUGGUAGUAGCUAGGAUUUGUUCGGCUGGCGGUGGCGUGUGUGGCACUGUUCCAAGGGCCAACAGUCUGUGGUGUAGUGGUAGACGAUCCACCUGACCCGUCUUGAAAUAAGGACCACAGAGAGUAACGGAAAAGAAACUAACAAGGCUUCCCGAAACCCAAAGGAGAAGUGAAAGUAAAGGUCAGCACCGAUCCCGGUGACCUGAGAUCCAGUCGUCUCUCACGCGUUCUAGUCCCUCCCAUGAGGCUGUGGUCCCCCCACCGUCCAACCACAAGUCAUGUAUUAACCACCAGGCCCCCAUCGGGGCGGAGCAUGAGCGUACAUGUUGAGACCCGAAAGAUGGUGAACUAUGCUUGCGCAGGUUGAAGCCAGAGGAAACUCUGGUGGAGGACCGCAGCGAAUCUGACGUGCAAAUCGAUCGUCAAAC
rnacentral:rRNA from 1 species